ACCAGACUCCUACGGGAGGCAGCAGUGGGGGAUAUUGCACAAUGGGGGGAACCCUGAUGCAGCGACGCCGCGUGGGUGAAGAAGCGCCUCGGCGCGUAAAGCCCUGUCAGCAGGGAAGAAAAUGACGGUACCUGAAGAAGAAGCCCCGGCUAACUACGUGCCAGCAGCCGCGGUAAUACGUAGGGGGCAAGCGUUAUCCGGAUUUACUGGGUGUAAAGGGGGCGCAGACGGCGAUGCAAGCCAGGAGUGAAAGCCCGGGGCCCAACCCCGGGACUGCUCUUGGAACUGCGUGGCUGGAGUGCAGGAGGGGCAGGCGGAAUUCCUGGUGUAGCGGUGAAAUGCGUAGAUAUCAGGAGGAACACCGGUGGCGAAGGCGGCCUGCUGGACUGCAACUGACGUUGAGGCCCGAAAGCGUGGGGAGCAAACAGGAUUAGAUACCCCGGUAAA
rnacentral:rRNA from 1 species